rnacentral:rRNA from 1 species
CCUACGGGUGGCUGCAGUGGGGAAUAUUGGACAAUGGGGGGAACCCUGAUCCAGCGACGCCGCGUGAGUGAAGAAGUAUUUCGGUAUGUAAAGCUCUAUCAGCAGGGAAGAAAGAAAUGACGGUACCUCUUGAAUAAGCCACGGCUAACUACGUGCCAGCAGCCGCGGUAAUACGUAGGUGGCAAGCGUUGUCCGGAUUUACUGGGUGUAAAGGGCGUGCAGCCGGGCUUACAAGUCAGAUGUGAAAACCCGGGGCCCAACCCCGGGAGUGCAUUUGAAACUGCCAUGCUGGAGUGCCGGAGAGGUAAGCGGAAUUCCUAGUGUAGCGGUGAAAUGCGUAGAUAUUAGGAGGAACACCAGUGGCGGAGGCGGCUUACUGGACGGUAACUGACGCUGAGGCUCGAAAGCGUGGGGAGCAAACAGGAUUAGAUACCCCG